UGGCAGUGCAAGAGGAGAGGUGCAAACUGGAGGAGUCCCAUUAUCUUAGUCUGUCUGUGUUGCUAUAAAGGAACACUGGAGGCUCUGGAGGCUGGGUCAUUUAUGAAGAAAAGAGGUUUAUUUGGCUCACAGUUCUGCAGGCUAUACAGGAAGCAUGGCACCAACAUCUGCUCUCCUUCUGGUGAGGCCUCAGGAAGCUUUUACUCAUGGUGGAGGGCAAGGGGAGCUGGCAUGUCACGGGGUGAGAAAAGGGGCAAUAGAAGGGGGAGGUGACAGGCUCUUUCAAACAACCAGCCCUUGAAUGGCCUAAUAGAGAGAGCUCACUCAUUACCGUGGGGAGCGUACCAAGCCCAAGGGGUCCACCCCCGUGACCCAAACACCUCCCACCAGGCCCUACCUCCAACACCGGGGGUCACAUUUCAACAUGUGAUUUGGAAGGGACUCAUGUGCAAACUCUAUCACCCAGGUAAGGGAAAAAUAAUUUGGUUCAUGCAGCAAAGGGCUUGCUUGAAACCACAGAUGUGGAACAGGAAGUUUCUAAAGCUGUAAGUAUUUAAUUCUUUACUAUGUGGUGGUACUAUCAUUAUCCCCAUUUUACAGAUGGGAAAACUCAGGCAAAGAACGUUCAAAUACAUUGCCCAGGAUUACACAGCUAUUCAAUGGCAGAGCUGGGAUUUAAACCCAGACAGGCUGACUGGAGAGACUGUCAGGCUGGGAAGACCUAAAGGAGCCCAGCCUUCACACCUAACAAGUGAUUGCUCUAAGCUGGCUGGCUCACUGAUCCCCAGGGCUUCUGUGGGAAGGACGUGGGCAGAACUACAAGUCUCCACUCACCCUCCAAGACCUAAACCCCAGGUGGGGGGAGAGAAGCAGAGGACCAGGACCAGGAAGGAGCAGGCAGAGGUGCUGCCAGGCUGUGUGUGUCUGCAGUGCCCCAGGGGUAGAGGGAGGCAGAUAGCUGCCUUCCCACCAAGCAGGCGGAUUUUAGAGCAGAUGUUUGCUGAUGGGCCAUGAACAUGCUGAGCAGACGGCAUACGGCAGCGCUACGACAUGCACAGGUGGCACUUGGUUACUGACAAGCCCAGCAGAACUUGGGGACUGUGGAGAGGGCUCUUUCCUCCUGAUGACACAUCUAGUGGAGGUCUCGUCUGAAGGUGAAUGACAGAUUUCCUCACGGAGCCCUGCGGAUGUUCCACUGCAGGAUAGUCAUAUGCUGGACGGCAGACUGAGGCCCAGGCCCUGCUGGCGUCCAAUAUGGACGUAUCUCGGAUCAGCGAGAGCUGCUCAGGAACCACACCACGGUAGGUGCAUGCUGAGCACCUGCUGGGACAGCCCCCGGUGUGACACUGUCCACAGCAGCUGGAAGCGGUCUACAGCAUGGGAGAACCUAGAGGACACCGUACUCUGUGCAAUAAGCCAGCUGCCGAGGGAGGAACACCUUGACAUUCCACUCACAUCAGGCACUAGAGGAGUCAAAUUCAUAGCAAGUAGAGUGGGGGCUGCCAGGACCUGGGAUAGAGGAAGGUGAAAAAAUUCUAGAAAUGGAUGGUACGUGUAUUUUACCACAAUUAAAAGAAAAUAUUACAGAGAAGACGAAAGCCCCCCCAUACCGCUCACCCCAAUCCCAGUGCCCCUGCACUCACCCUCCCGUCCACACACUGCCCCCACAUCACAGUGAAAAAUGCCAGUCUCACUCUAAACAUUCCCUUCCUUUUAGAUUGGCACACAUUUGCCCACCUGGUGCUCAGAGACAGUUCCCCCAGGUGUGGACAGUGGCUCUUCUCCUGAGGUCUUGAAUAAAAGCACAUUAAUUCCUACUUGUGAGGGGAGGGCACUAACUCAGGGUUGAUCAAACCUCACAAAAACGUGAACCAUGCCAUUUUCCAGCAUGUACUUGGGACAUAAAACCUAACAUAAAACCACAGCAUGGGCCGGGUGUGGUGGCUCACACCUGUAAUCCCAGUACUUUGGGAGGUCGAGGUGGGUGGAUCAUGAGGUAAGGAGUUCAAGACCAGCCUGACCAACAUGGUGAAACCCCGUCUCUACUAAAAAUACAGAAAUUAGCCAAGCAUGGUGGCGCAGGCCUGUAAUCCCAGCUACUCAGGAGUCUAAGGCAGGAGAAUCACUUGAACCUGGGAGGCAGAGGUUGCAGUGAGCCGAGAUUGUGCCACUGCACUCCAGCCUGGGCGACAGAGCGAGACUCUGUCUCAAAAAACAAACAAACAAACCAACCAAAAAACCCCAACAACCCACAGUGUGGAUCGGCAGGUCCCUAACCCCAUGGCUUCAAUUAAUCUUAAAAAGAGCCGAGGGCUGGGCGCUUUGGGAGGCUGAGGUGGGUGGAUCAUUUGAGGUCAGGAGUUUGAGACCAGCCUGUCCAACAUGGUGAAACCCCCAUCUCUACUAAAAACGCAAAAAUUAGCCAAGCA
rnacentral:lncRNA from 1 species